GAGAAGUUUUAUUCUUGCUAUGUCGUUCAAUUUUCGUUUGUUUUAUAUGUAAGUUUAUGCGUGAGUUUUCCUGUAGUUCUUGAUGGUUUAUAUGGUUUAUUUGUUGUUAAUUCUCAUUAGUUGUUAUUGGUUGGUCAGGUAUCCUUGUAUUUAGCAAUUCGUUUUUAGUUUCGGUUAAAUUUUGUGCCAGCAACCGCGGUUAUACCUUGGGGGCGUUUGAAUGUGUUCGGCAAUUGUAGUUAUAUGAUUAAUUUUGUAUUUUAUUUUGAUGGUUUAUUGGGUGAAAUUUUUAUUUUUAUUUAUUUUCUUUUGGUUAUUUGGAGGCUAUGAAAUUCUUUUUGUAGACUAGGAUUAGAUACCCUAUUAUUUUAGAACGUUAAUUUUGUUUGUCUGAGUAGUAUUAGUUAUGUUCUUGAAACUUAAAGAAUUUGGCGGUAUCUUAUUCCAUCCAGAGGAAUCUGUCUCGUUAUCGAUAGUCCGCGUUGGACCUUACUUGGAGUUAUAAUUAUGGUUUGUAUACCGCCGUUUAUUGAUUAUCUUUUUAGAGUUUUAUUAAUUUUCUGGUUUCUUUAUUUUGAUUUAUUUCAGGUCAAGGUGCAGCUUAUUUCUAAGUGGAGGAUGGAUUACAUUGUUAUUUGUUUAUGAUUGGAUCGUUGAUUUUAAUAUUGUCGUGAAAUUGGAUUUGGUUGUAAUGUUUUGUAGAUUGUUUUCAUGAUAAUUGGUUCUGGGAUAUGUACACAUCGCCCGUCGCUCUCGUUUAUUUUAAUGAGAUAAGUCGUAACAAAGUGGCUGUACCGGAAGGUGCGGCUGGAUUGAU
rnacentral:ncRNA from 1 species